rnacentral:rRNA from 1 species
GACGAACGCUGGCGGCGUGCUUAACACAUGCAAGUCGAACGGGAUUUAGUAGACAGAAGCCUCGGCUAAAGAUUACUAAUGAGAGUGGCGAACGGGUGCGUAACGCGUGAGCAACCUGCCUAUGACAGUGGGAUAGCCUCGGGAAACCGGGAUUAAUACCGCAUAAAAUCGUAGAAACACAUGUUUCAACGGUCAAAGAUUUAUAGGUCAUAGAUGGGCUCGCGUCUGAUUAGCUAGUUGGUGAGAUAACAGCCCACCAAGGCGACGAUCAGUAGCCGGUCUGAGAGGAUGAACGGCCACAUUGGAACUGAGACACGGUCCAAACUCCUACGGGAGGCAGCAGUGGGGAAUAUUGCACAAUGGGGGAAACCCUGAUGCAGCGACGCCGCGUGAACGAAGAAGGUAUUCGUAUCGUAAAGUUCUGUCCUAUGGGAAGAUAAUGACAGUACCAUAGAAGAAAGCUCCGGCUAAAUACGUG